rfam:Xenopus laevis strain J chromosome 1S, whole genome shotgun sequence.
AUGGAGGAUUAAGAAAGUAGAUCUUGACAAGUUUCAUGGGCUCUACUGAUACUCUCCUCCUAUAUGAAGUGGUAGAGGAACAGGACUGUUUACAAGAUUGUGCACAGGACCUACUUACUCUGCCAACACUU